GUUCUCGUGACCUCCCUGAUCCCCGGGCUGGAAAAAGAACACGAUCCAAGAGCGGUGAGUUGACCUUUUACAGUGUCUUGAGAUUAAUGGAUUUUGUUCCCCCUGGGAAGUCUGACCUAGGUUUGCUGCCCAUCUGUCCCAGAGGGCUGUCUGUCCACAUCCACAGGGAAACCCCAGGGCUGUCCAAGGGCCAAAAGAAAGGCAGGACUGGGCCAAGAGCUGUGUUUAGGAGCCCAGCCCUCUCUGGAGGUGGUCCUCCUGCUGUCACCGAGCUUCUCUUCACAAAGACGGGAGGAGGCUUCUGAAGGUCAAGAGCAACUGGGGAGGCAUUCAGGUGAGGGCAGCUGUGCUUCCUGGGUCCACUCUGACCAGAGGGAAGAGACUGGCUAAUGGAGCCUGUUCCUGAGUGCUGGCAGCUUCAGCACCUGAGCCGGUCUGAAGGACAGAGCAGAGAGGUCGGGGAGGAGGCCGUUUAGUCAGGCUGCCUUCUCUCCUCUGCUGGGGUGGCAGAAUAAUGACCCCUCCUCAGCCACACCAAGAUGUCCCUGUUCUAGUUCCUGGAACUGGUAACCAUGUCACCUUUACAGGGCAGAAGGGACUUGGCAGAGGCAUUGAAGUUAAGGACCUAGAGAUGGGAAGAGCAUUUUGGAUUCUCCAGGCAGACCUGACAUCCUCACAGAGGUCCUCGUGAGAGGGAGGCAGGUGGGCCAGAGUCAGGGAGGGAGAUGUGACAAUGGAAGCAUAGGUCACAGUGAAGUGGCCACAAGCCAAGCUGCUAGGAGCUGGAGCAGGUGAGGAACGAAUUCUCUAAAACCUGCAGAGGGCACACAGCUCUGUGGACACUGGAUUUUAGCCCCAUAAAUCCCAUCUUAGAUUUUUUUU
rnacentral:lncRNA from 1 species